rnacentral:tRNA from 1 species
GUGGCUAUAGCUCAGAGGUAGAGCACAUGCUUAACAUGCACGAGGUCCUGGGUUCAACCCUCAGUAAUUUCA